UACGUAGGGUCCGAGCGUUGUCCGGAAUCACUGGGCGUAAAGGGCGCGUAGGCGGUCGCGUAAGCGUGUGGUGAAAGCCCGGGGCUCAACCCCGGGUCGGCCAUGCGAACUGCGGGACUGGAGCAGAUCAGAGGCAGGCGGAAUUCCGGGUGUAGCGGUGGAAUGCGUAGAGAUCCGGAAGAACACCGGUGGCGAAGGCGGCCUGCUGGGAUCUUGCUGACGCUGAAGCGCGACAGCGUGGGGAGCAAACAGG
rnacentral:rRNA from 1 species